UUUGGAAGUGUUUGGUCAUUCCUUCAGGAUUAGAUGCAAGGGAAGUGUUUUUCACAAGAAUAGUACCAGAUUGUGUCAUUCUCAGUACGUCUCAUUGGCAGCAAUAUGAUGUCUGUUUGUCCCAUUAAUGAUGAUGAUAAAGUUGAUCACCUGGUUAAAGUGGCAUUAGUUAGGUUUCUACAUUGUUGUUGUUUUUCAGUUGCUAAGUCUUGUCUGACUCUUUGCAACUCCAUGGACUGCAGCCCACCAGGCUUCCCUGUCCUUCACUAUCUCCUGGAGCUUGCUCAAACUCACGUCCAUUGAGUCGAUGAUGCCAUCCAUUCUACAUUGUAAAGGUGUAAACAGCUCUUUCCACGAGGGAGGACAGAGAAGUUGGAAGGACAAAAAUCAAAGGCAUGCGUUUAGGUUUCCUUUUUGG
rnacentral:lncRNA from 1 species